CCGUUACUUACCUAGUCUAUGUACGGUACCGAGAUAUACGGGUGGCUGGCGUACAGGGUUGGCAGGCCUGCGGGUGGGGGCGACGUGAGGUGGGGUGGAUGUCGCAGGCCUGUGAUCUUGUGAGUCGCUGUAAGUCACCAACACACCGACCGCUAGCAGCUUAGAACAGCAGAUGAAAGAAACCGCCGAUAUUUUCCGAUCAUAAUUGUUGAGCAGCAAACAUCAACUUACAGAAGACAGCAUGCCAGGGUAAACCCGUACAACACGAUCUUCCCAAACGGACAUUCACCAGGAACGAGCCACAUGACGUCAUGUUGGCGGAAGUGUCUGAAGAACAACGUCACCAGCAGCGCUUACGAUGAGAACACCCACGUGUGACGUCAGUGAGGGAGAUCGUCAUGAGCUUGCUCUCAGCUCCACCAACCUGUCCACGUGAUCGCCUUUACAAAGCUCGGUUAUUUCUGGCGCUGAGUCACCUGACUCGUAGUUCCACAACAUCGGCGACUCCCGACUUCCAGGAGAGCAGGUGGGCAGACGAGAAGAACAUACACGAAAGGACAGACAACAGUAAAUAUCCAAGCUGAACAAGUACAAGAAACCAGUAACAGACAUUCCAGUAAGUGCCAAAAUGGUUGACGUCUCCACUUGCUAACUCCAAGUACAAUACAAGUAGCAGUAUUUUGAAAUUAUCCUUGCUUGUGUACCAGUGGAGUAGAGCAGGGUUAGCUGGAAAACACGAUCUGAGGUAGAGUAGAAACAAUGUCUUAUGUUUGAAUACCUCGUCAGGAACCUCUCCCCAGAGGACAUUUUUUUUCUGUGUGAAAUGCAAGAAGCUAAAUAAUACAUCAAAGGAAAUUAAAGAAUUUUAAAAACGUUAAUAAUAAAUUUAUAAAUGAAAAGUGAAAGGAAUUUACAAACGUCUCGUCCUGUGGUAAUCUGACAGGUACAAAAAGUGAACCCAUAAUGUUAUGGAUAUUAUGAAUUUUAGGUCAACAACGGCAUUGAAGAUGGUUGAUACUGCAAUGAUUGUGGGAUUACUUAGAGUUCUGUAUCGAAAUUUAAAUCAAAGCUUAACUGUUGAUUGUAUUCAAACAAGCGGGUACUCACGGCCAGUGUGACAUCUGCUUGGGGAGGACCUAUGGACCACAAAUGUCUCACAAACAACGAUGUCUCGCAAAGCUGGGGAGGGGGAUAGCUUACAUGUUUUAUAUUGUGUAGUGUGUAAGUAAUAUUGUGUACGUUCGUAUGACAGAAAGAAGUGAGCUGUGUCGGUAUUAACCCUAACCAUGAUCUAACAUGUGUAUAUUUUGUCCAGCAGUACAAACUGCUUCCAGGAGGCCUUAUCGCAUCCGUCCAGUAACUGUACAUAGACGAAAACUGAUUUAUUUAUCUCCAGGUUGUGCCCUGUAUUGAGAGAGAGAAGAGUAGAAGGAAUGAAUGGGUGAAAGGGUUUAUGUGAAGAUGUGAGAAUAUGUAUUUUUGUUGUCACUGUCGCGAUGACAACGGGUGUGUAGCCCGAUGUAGGUGCGCUCGCCCUUAUCCAAGCCGUCCUCUUGUAUAGUACACGAAGAGAAACUGUACAUAGCCUUGUAAUUAUUGCUAGCCACCAUGUAUAUUAUCCAUCACCUCAUUCGUAUAUUCUAACACCAGUGACUGCAUUCCACUCAAAUCCUACAAAUCGUGCCUUAAAUCUUCAGUAGCAGCAAAACGGUUAACACUUGUGACAGGUGAGUCAGGGAUGCAGGACCAACGGUUGUCUGACAGGUGUGGCGUCUGUCUACCUGAACAACCAGGUGACUACAAACUGAUUUCACCGGGUCAAUGUUCUGAUAGGUCAAUCCCCAACCACAGGGGUUGUUCACAUACUGCUUGAGACCUCAAGUGCCUUAAAGUAAGGGUGGAGGGGAUGUGACAAGUUUGUGUAACAGUAACACACUGAUGCAAGUGAAUGACUAACUACUGACGACAGAUUAAACAUGGGCUCAAAAUAGUUGACUAUGAAAAAUCAGACUCUUCUCACAUUAGUCUAUAAGUCAUUUGCUAGAAAGGAAUGGAAAUAAUAAAUAGACACAAAACAAACUAUUAUCUACAAUCCUAAGCCUAUAAAUAUUUCGUCCUUUGAAGAUGAAGUAAGAACUCGAGCAGACCAUCCCGACUUUGUCUACAGUGUAGGAAGACAUCCACAAAGUGUUUUAACUACUAAGUGUUAGUGUGUCCGUGGACAGCAAUCAGCUGGUCAAUGAUGCAUGCCCCCCUCUCGUCCAUUUGUAGCCAUCCAUCGGUCCAUCGUUAAUUAGUGUUGUAAUUGUCAUAAUUCGAAGGACGAGCAUCCUUCGGCUCACAAAAGCCAGACCUGUGAUAAAGAUUGAUAACAGGAGUUAUCAAGUGUACAAAACCUCAAUCAUCUAGGACAUGUUAGUCAACGACAAGGACGACUCACAUGACGUGAGAUACUAUUUAUAGCCUUCUUUCUUUUCCUACUUUCGUAUUCUCUUCCUGGUUAGACAUUUGAUGUGAACGCUUGAGGCCUUAUGGAUCGUUUGUGUAUUUUCUAUGAAUUAGACAAAAAUAUAGAUGUGAAACAUGAGAUAUAAGAGCCAAUGGCAUGUACUCCUAUUGUAAUUUUUGUAAUGAUUCUUCUCAUUGCUGUAUUAAAGAUUUUUGUGGAUGCUGUUCAGAGUGGACAUGAGAAUUAAAGCACUGGGUGUUUCAAAAACAAA